rnacentral:misc_RNA from 1 species
AAGUCGUAACAAGGUUUCCGUAGGUGAACCUGCGGAAGGAUCAUUAACGAGUUUUGAAGUGGGUUUGAUGCUGGCCUUCACAGGCAUGUGCUCGCCCUACUCUCAUCCACUCACACCUGUGCACCUAUAAAUGUUGGAAGAUUUUAUCCCCUUGACUCUUAGGAGUGCAGUUCAGGGCAACUUGAGCUGUUGGGACGGAGUCUUCUACGUUUACUUUUCUAUAAACUCUUGCAUGUCGUAGAAUGUUCAUGGCCUACGGGCUUUAACAAAUGAAAUACAACUUUCAACAACGGAUCUCUUGGCUCUC